ensembl:lncRNA
AAGAUCUGUACUUAUUAUCUGUCACCAUCUCAAUCCCACAGAGUUCUCCAGCUCUGGGUCAAGACCCUCAUAACGCUGUUUCCUCAGCCAGGCUGGGUCGUGCAGAUUUCUCUUGGAGAGAGAGUCUCCAGCUGCCAUCACACAAAAACAUCUUCACAUGCGUGCAGCAGCAGCAGCCAUGGUGAGCUACAUCAAACAGGGCUGGUCAGGCACCCCAUAGACUUUCAACUUCAGAGCCACAUCCAGACUUUUCUUUUGACUCCCUCUGUCUCCAAGACCACCACACAGGGUCAGAGAGCACUGUACACGGUCCUAGGGACUUUUCAUGGCAGUUCCUCAGAGACGAGAUGGCAAAACAAUCAGGAUUCCAGACUAAUGGAACAGGAAGACAUUUAUUAUGGACAACUUUGUCUAUAAUUCAUACAUGAAAGACCUGACCAGCACCUGUCAUGCAAAACACCACAAGCUUCACGGCAGUGGGAAAGACAGCAGCAGAGUAUCUGGGAGCUGUCGUGGACACCUCUACCUCUGCGUUUCUGCUGGUGUGAAUGUAGCAAGAUUCCUGCAGCUGACCGCAGCUCUUCCGAUGACAGGUUGGAUUCAAACAAAGCUGCAUGUCUCAGCACUGACUUUUACAAGGAUCUACAAUUACUUCUGUGGCAUGUUUAAGAAUAUGGACCAAAUGCUUAGAAGGUCACACCUGGGAGAGCUGCAGCCUGCCCUGGGCUAUGAGAGGCUGUUGACAGCUUGA